rnacentral:rRNA from 1 species
AUUGAACGCUGGCGGGAUGCUUUACACAUGCAAGUCGAACGAGUGGCGGACGGGUGAGUAAUAUCUCGGAACGUGCCCAGUAGCGGGGGAUAACUACUCGAAAGAGUGGCUAAUACCGCAUACUAUCGUAGGGGCCGAUAUGGGAUUAGCUAGUUGGUGGGGUAAAGGCUCACCAAGGCAACGAUCCGUAGCUGGUUUGAGAGGACGCCCAGCAACACUGGGACUGAGACACGGCCCAGACUCCUACGUGAGGAAGCAGUGGGGAAUUUUGGACAAUGGGGGAAACACUGAUGCAGCCAUGCCGCGGGUAUGAGAAGGCCUUCGGGUUGUAAAGUACUUUUGGCAGAGAAGCGUUAUCCGAAGAAUAAGCACCGGCUAACUACGUGCCAGCAGCCGCGGUAAUAC